rnacentral:rRNA from 1 species
GAUGAACGCUGGCGGCGUGCCUAAUACAUGCAAGUCGAGCGAAGCGGGGACGGGUGAGUAACACGUGGAUAACCUCCUAUAAGACUGGGGUAACUUCGGGAAACCGGAGCCAAACCGGCUACUUAUCGCUGGAUCCGUGCUGCAUUAGCUAGUGGGUAAGGUAACGGCUUCCCAAGGCAACGAUGCAUAUCCGACCUGAGAGUGUGAGCGGCCACACUGGAACUGAGACACGGUCCAGACUCCUACGGGAGGCAGCAGUAGGGAAUCUUGCGCAAUGGGCGAAAGCCGGACAGAGCAACGCCGCGUGAGUGAUGAAGGUCGUCGGAUCGUAAAACUCUGUUAUUAGGGAAGCGGUACCUAAUCAGAAAGCCACGGCUAACUACGUGCCAGCAGCCGCGGUAAUAC